UACGUAGGGUGCGAGCGUUAAUCGGAAUUACUGGGCGUAAAGCGUGCGCAGGCGGUUAUGUAAGACAGAUGUGAAAUGCCCGGGCUUAACCUGGGAACUGCAUUUGUGACUGCAUGGCUAGAGUGUGUCAGAGGGGGGUAGAAUUCCACGUGUAGCAGUGAAAUGCGUAGAUAUGUGGAGGAAUACCGAUGGCGAAGGCAGCCCCCUGGGAUAACACUGACGCUCAUGCACGAAAAGCGUGGGGAGCAAACAGG
rnacentral:rRNA from 1 species